rnacentral:rRNA from 1 species
CGAAGUGGAGCGGCGGUGUCUGGUUGGGAGUGGAAUAGGCGGAGGUGGGGAGUGGCGGGGGUGGUGGACUUGAUCGAAGUCUAGCCGAGGAGGGGAGGGGAGAGGUGAGGUGUUGUCGGUACCGACCUCCGACUACCUCUGCAAAAAGUGGAGGGGGUAAAGAUAGGAGGGUAUUUUUAGUUCAGGUGGGUCGGUCUGGGGCAGAGAGUGGUCAAGACCGCCGCCGCACGUCGUGGGCCGCUAGAUUCUUUGUCAUGACGAUCGUCAUCACCGCCUGUUACCGCUCGUCGUCGCGUUCCUCGCCGCUACGCCGACUACCCGCUCGACACCUGGCCCGACGAGCAGCUCGCCACCGCGCACACCUACCGGCUCGCUGUUGCGUCCGACUUCCCAAGAUAAGACGACACCAGAGGAAGAGUACUUCCCAUUUCCUCCACCCUCUAGGUAUAGCGAUCGAAGUAGGUUACAGUUUAGGUACAUGGUUCGUUCGCCGGUUCUUACGGAAGAGGGACGGGCCGAUCUUCAACCUAGGAAGGUUCUCCCUUGGAGAGUCCUAAAAGAUGCUCAGUGACAGGUUUUUCAUGUAUAUACAAAAGUAAGUAGACUAAAAAUUUUUUUAAACUGUCUCCCUUGGAGAGUCUUAAAAGAUGCUCAGUGACGGGUUUUUCUAGGUUAGGUCACUCUACCGGCUGAAGUCCCCCCACCCUUCGUUAUAACCUCCGCCAGACUCAGUACUAUUAUUAGUAAGGUAAUUACUACUACUGCUAUUGUGGAUACUGUAGUUCCGUCCCCUAUAGAGCACGCUAUUUGUAAUACUAGGUAUACCGCUACUUACUCUAUGAUUGAGACCGCUACUACCACUGAUCAAAUUGUUAGAAUAAGUUCCGUGCGUUGUUUCGCUUCAAAACUUCUAACUCCCGUUAAAUCGAAUACGUUUAACGGACUUGGUAAUAUAGUACGUAUCAAUGAUAAAACAAAACGUAAGAUGUAAGGGAUCUACCUAGCGAUCCCAAUUACAUUUAGCAUACCUUGAGUAAUCCGAACAUCAUGAAAGAAUCCAUACGUUUUAUAUUAUAUACAAAAACCCAGUACAUACGAGCACAUUAGAACUCUGGAUAAACUAUACGGUUAUAAGCCUUUGUGUCAAACCACAUAGUGUGAUGACGGAUACCUCGCAUCUU